UACGUAGGGUGCGAGCGUUGUCCGGAUUUAUUGGGCGUAAAGAGCUCGUAGGCGGUCUGUCGCGUCUGCUGUGAAAACUCGGGGCUUAACCCCGGGCCUGCAGUGGGUACGGGCAGACUAGAGUGCGGUAGGGGAGACUGGAAUUCCUGGUGUAGCGGUGAAAUGCGCAGAUAUCGAGAGGAACACCUGCGGCGAAGGCGGGUUGCUGGGCUGACACUGACGCUGAGGCGCGAAAGCUAGGGGAGCGAACGGG
rnacentral:rRNA from 1 species